rnacentral:lncRNA from 1 species
UCUGUCUCUCUUACAUCUUAUUCUCUUGUUCUUACUCUUGCUCCCUUCCUCCUCCUCUCUCCUCCUUCCUUUCCCUGCCUCUCAGCGUGGCCAUGGUCGGUCUACUUCUCUACUGUCUCCCUCUCUCUACCUUUCUACUAUAAAUACUUUAAAACCAUGGACUGCCUGUUUUCAUUGGACCCACUGUGCUGGAGCAAUGGAGCAGGUCUCCCUCUAACAAGCCACACAUCUAACCUCCCACAGGAAGCCUCCCUGUUCUCCGGCCACAGCUGCCACCCAACCCAGCCACUGAACAAGACAAGGACUCUCAUCGCCGUGGUAACCAGACUGGGCUAGAAAAACCUCAGAAUUUCAGAGAAGACCCCAGGUCCCACGAUCUCUGAACAGCGUUCUGCUUAAGCACAUAAUAACAAACUCUUCAUUGUUGGUAUGACAACAGCCCCACCCUUCCCACUUGAAGCCUACUUCUUCCUUCAGAGCUUGAGUGUGUUGACAUAACUUGUGGCUACUCCUGGUUUCAGAAGGCACUAAGCAA